rnacentral:rRNA from 1 species
AGUGAACGUUAGCGGUGUGGAUUAGGCAUGCAAGUCGUGCGCGAAAGCCUUCGGGCGAGUAAAGCGGCGAACGGGUGAGUAACACGUAAUCAACCUACCCUCGAGAUCGGAAUAGCCACUGGAAACGGUGGGUAAUGCCGAAUGGACAGCUGGAGAGGCAUCUCUCUGGUUGUAAACGGCUUCGGCUGUUCGGGGAGGGGAUUGCGGGCUAUUAGCUUGUUGGUGAGGUAAUGGCUCACCAAGGCGAUGAUGGCUAGCGGGUCUGAGAGGAUGAUCCGUCACACUGGGACUGAGACACUGCCCAG